GUGAGGAAUAUUGGUCAAUGGGCGCAAGCCUGAACCAGCCAUCCCGCGUGAAGGAAGAAGGCCCUACGGGUUGUAAACUUCUUUUCUGUUUGAAGAAUAAGCUCGUCGAGACGAGUGAUGCCGGUAGGACAGGAAUAAGCAUCGGCUAACUCCGUGCCAGCAGCCGCGGUAAUACGGAGGAUGCAAGCGUUAUCCGGAUUUAUUGGGUUUAAAGGGUGCGCAGGUGGUUUAAUAAGUCAGUGGUGAAAGUCUGGCGCUUAACGUUAGGAUUGCCAUUGAUACUGUUAGACUUGAAUAUGGAUGAGGUAGGCGGAAUGUGUAGUGUAGCGGUGAAAUGCUUAGAUAUUACACAGAACACCGAUUGCGAAGGCAGCUUACUAAUCCAUCAUUGACGCUGAGGCACGAAAGCGUGGGGAUCAAACAGGAUUAGAAACCCGAGUAGUCC
rnacentral:rRNA from 1 species